AUGAACGCUAGCUACAGGCUUAACACAUGCAAGUCAGGGGCAGCAUUGAGAUAGCUUGCAUUCAGAUGGCGACCGGCGCACGGGUGAGUAACGCGUAUCCAACUUCCCUAUAGUAGAGAAUAGCCCGGCGAAAGUCGGAUUAAUGCUCUAUAUGUUCAUUGAUGGCAUCAGAGAUUGAACAAGAAUUUCGCUAUAGGAUGGGGAUGCGUCUGAUUAGCUUGUUGGCGGGUAACGGCCCACCAAGGCAACGAUCAGUAGGGGUUCUGAGAGGAAGGUCCCCCACAUUGGUACUGAGACACGGACCAAACUCCUACGGGAGGCAGCAGUGAGGAAUAUUGGUCAAUGGGCGCAAGCCUGAACCAGCCAAGUAGCGUGCCAGGACGACUGCCCUAUGGGUUGUAAACUGCUUUUAUAGGGGAAUAAAGUGAGGUAUGUAUACCUUUUGUAUGUACCCUAUGAAUAAGGACCGGCUAAUUCCGUGCCAGCAGCAGC
rnacentral:rRNA from 1 species